rnacentral:rRNA from 1 species
GAUGAACGCUGGCGGCGUGCUUAACACAUGCAAGUCGAACGAUGAAGCCCAGCUUGCUGGGUGGAUUAGUGGCGAACGGGUGAGUAACACGUGAGUAACCUGCCCUUGACUCUGGGAUAAGCCUGGGAAACUGGGUCUAAUACCGGAUAGGAACGUCCACCGCAUGGUGGUUGUUGGAAAGAUUUAUCGGUCAUGGAUGGACUCGCGGCCUAUCAGCUUGUUGGUGAGGUAAUGGCUCACCAAGGCGACGACGGGUAGCCGGCCUGAGAGGGUGACCGGCCACACUGGGACUGAGACACGGCCCAGACUCCUACGGGAGGCAGCAGUGGGGAAUAUUGCACAAUGGGCGAAAGCCUGAUGCAGCGACGCCGCGUGAGGGAUGACGGCCCUUUCGGGUUGUAAACCUCCUU